rnacentral:rRNA from 1 species
UACAUAUCAAUAAGCGGAGGAAAAGAAACUAACAAGGAUUCCCCUAGUAACUGCGAGUGAAGCGGGAAAAGCUCAAAUUUAAAAUCUGGCGUCUUCGGGCGUCCGAGUUGUAGUUUAGAGAAGCGUUUUCCGCGCCGGACCGUGUACAAGUCUCCUGGAACGGAGCGUCAUAGAGGGUGAGAAUCCCGUCUUUGACACGGACUACCGGUGCUCUGUGAUGCGCUCUCAAAGAGUCGAGUUGUUUGGGAAUGCAGCUCAAAAUGGGUGGUGAAUUCCAUCUAAAGCUAAAUAUUGGCGAGAGACCGAUAGCGAACAAGUACCGUGAGGGAAAGAUGAAAAGCACUUUGGAAAGAGAGUUAAACAGUACGUGAAAUUGUUGAAAGGGAAACGCUUGAAGUCAGUCGCGUUCGCCGGGACUCAGCCUUGCUUCGGCUCGGUGUACUUCCCGGUGUACGGGCCAGCAUCACUUUUGAUCGUCGGAAAAGGGCGGGGGAAAGGUGGCACCUUCGGGUGUGUUAUAGUCCCUUGUCGUAUACGAUGGUUGGGAGUGAGGAACUCAGCACGCCUUACGGUCGGGGUUCGCCCACGUUCGUGCUUAGGAUGCUGGYGUAAUGGCUUUAAACGACCCGUCUUGAAACACGGACCAAGGAGUCUAACAUGCCCGCGAGUGUUCGGGUGGAAAACCCGUGCGCGUAAUGAAAGUGAAAGUUGGGACCUCUGUCGUGGAGGGCACCGACGCCCGGACCAGACCUUCUGUGACGGUUCUGCGGUAGAGCGUGUAUGUUGGGACCCGAAAGAUGGUGAACUAUGCCUGAAUAGGGUGAAGCCAGAGGAAACUCUGGUGGAGGCUCGUAGCGAUUCUGACGUGCAAAUCGAUCGUCAAAUUUGGGUAUAGGGGCGAAAGACUAAUCGAA